CUACGGGGGGCUGCAGUGGGGAAUUUUGGACAAUGGGCGCAAGCCUGAUCCAGCCAUUCCGCGUGAGUGAAGAAGGCCUUCGGGUUGUAAAGCUCUUUCGCAAGGGAAGAAAACUUAUCCUCUAACAUAGGGUGAGGUUGACGGUACCUUGAUAAGAAGCACCGGCUAACUACGUGCCAGCAGCCGCGGUAAUACGUAGGGUGCGAGCGUUAAUCGGAAUUACUGGGCGUAAAGCGUGCGCAGGCUGUUUUGUAAGUCAGAUGUGAAAUCCCCGAGCUCAACUUGGGAACUGCGUUUGAACUAGAAGACUAGAGUAUGUCAGAGGGGGGUAGAAUUCCAUGUGUAGCAGUGAAAUGCGUAGAGAUGUGGAGGAAUACCAAUGGCGAAGGCAGCCCCCUGGGAUAAUAUUGACGCUCAUGCACGAAAGCGUGGGGAGCAAACAGGAUUAGAUACCCGCGUAGUC
rnacentral:rRNA from 1 species